GAACUUUAUAUGAUAAAUCGAAGUACAGAAAGGCUGGCGACCACAAAGUACUGAAUGGAAACUGUACGUGAAAGAUGUUUGCAACAUCUGAAACCAAGGCAAACACCCUAAUCAGGAUGUAUGGCCCUCUUAUAGACAACCUGAAUUCCGACAAAUGGCAGGAGAUAGAUGCUUCGUCAAAACUUGAAUCUCUAGCAAAGAGCCCUCAUUUGAACAAGUUAGGGAGAAGAAUUAAAAUGGCGUCUAAUUAUGAUCUAGAUGAAACGGACCCAAAAUAUUAGUAAAUGAGAAACUACUGCAAAUCAAGAAUGAAUAACAUUCCUUAAGCUAAAGUAGUCACGAUUCAGAUUAUGAUGAUAUUCCACAGGCGCCAAGACCACAGCAGUUUUAUUAUGAUCUUGACAAUGGUUUACUCGGCCUUCCUAAAGAAGACCCUCUUAACAAAUUACUCCGAAUGUGCUCAAAUGAAUUUGAAAGAGUAAAUGACUACCGCAUAAGAUUAGCAGAAAGAGCAAGAGAAUAUCUUGAGUGUCCUGAAACACAUUUGGCUAACCGUCGAAACUCCGCCACAGGAAAAAAAAGUAGAGAAAUGCGUUCAAGACUGUUACGUAUUAACAAUGUUUAUAAACGGAACAAGAACCAAGGAAAUAUUUGAUGUCUUCUCGACCGCCUAUGUAACAGAAGACAGUUUCUGUACCAAGCAGACACCGAUUGUGAUACAACAGGCAAAUUUGAUGAAUUGGUAUCCCCCGCCGAAAGGGUUUGUGGUGAGGAAUGGCAAAAAAAAUAUAUCCGGCAAAAAGUUAAG
rnacentral:misc_RNA from 1 species